AGCGAACGCUGGCGGCAUGCCUAACACAUGCAAGUCGAACGAACCUUUCGGGGUUAGUGGCGGACGGGUGAGUAACACGUGGGAACGUUACCUUAGGUUCGGAAUAACUCAGGGAAACUUGUGCUAAUACCGAAUGUGCCCUUCGGGGGAAAGAUUUAUUGCCUUUAGAGCGGCCCGCGUCUGAUUAGCUAGUUGGUUGAGGUAAUGGUUCACCAAGGCGACGUUCAGUAGCUGGUCUGAGAGGAUGAUCAGCCACAUUGGGACUGAGACACGGCCCAAACUCCUACGGGAGGCAGCAGUGGGGAAUCUUGCGCAAUGGGCGAAAGCCUGACGCAGCCAUGCCGCGUGAAUGAUGAAGGUCUUAGGAUUGUAAAAUUCUUUCACCGGGGACGAUAAUGACGGUACCCGGAGAAGAAGCCCCGGCUAACUUCGUG
rnacentral:rRNA from 1 species